GGUGGAAGUUUAGGAUAUUAACUGGAGAUUUUUCUUCUUUUAUAUAUAGACAUUUACAGCUAUAAAUAUUCGUCUAAGCCCAGUUUUACCUGCAUUCCAUGAGAUCUGGUCCUCACAGCCAUGGGCAUCCUGGGCAGGACAAGUGAGAACGUGACUCCGACACCCUCCCCUGCUUCAGGUCCUCACAGCCAUGGGCAUCCUGGGCAGGACAAGUGAGAACGUGACUCCGACACCCUCCCCUGCUUCAGGUCCUCACAGCCAUGGGUAUCCUGGGCAGGACAGGUUAUGUAUUUUGCUUUAAGAGCUGCUUGGGAGGCUGAGGCAGGAGAAUCACUUGAACCUGGGAGGCAGAGGUUGCAGUGAGCCGAGAUCGCACCAUCACAUUCCAGCCUGGGGGACAACAGCGAGACCGCAUCUCAAAAAAGAAAAAAAAAAAAAGCUACAUUGGCAAUAUUGUGAAGGAAAUAAUAUUCUAUCCACCCAUUAUCAUUUAUCUGCAAAUAUCUGCAAAGGGAUUUUAAUUUGUUUCAUUCUUGAUUUAAGUCAAGUUAUCUGAAAGAGUGUGUGUGUGUGUGUGUGUGUGUUUGUGUGUGUGUGUCUGAGGAGGACCGAGGGGGACUAAGUGUGUUUGUGUGCACAUGUAUAAAAUCUUCUAACUUUUAAUUUUAUUUCCUCAUGAAUGGAGAACUUGAUCUGUGCCAAUUUGCUUUUGAAUUUUUAUUAAGGUUCUCUGUGUGACCUUAUAUGUUACUGUUCAUGAAUCCUUGCCAAUAAUGCACAUUUUCAAGGAAGGAGACUUUGAAACAUAAGGCCAGGAAUCAAAUGGCUGAGGUUCAGUGCUCAGCUUCCGCUUUUCUGAUCUACUGCCUUUGGCAAGUAACUUAACCUCUCUUGACCUGAGUUUUUUCAUUGAUAAGAAUAUCUGUUUUGUUUCUGUACAUUAAACAUGAGUAAAUAUGUUUCACUCUCAGGAACUGGUUAUUAAAGAGCUUUCACUAAAAAAUACAUUUGAUUUACAUUCACUUCUGUACCAGAAAUAAUAACUAUUUGUAGAAAGUUCAAUAAUAACAAAAAA